UUCAACCAUGACGCUCUGUGGACAGUUUUCCUUGGUUCUUCUAAGUACAAUGUGCGUGAUUCAGACUCUUGUGUUUUCUCAGACAAUUCAUGUAACUGAAGUCAAUCUUGGGGAAAAUGUGACUCUGACUUGCAACGUUACUGGGCAAGAGAGCGGACUGUUUUACUGGUACAAGAUGAAGUGUGGAUAUUCCAUCCAAAUGGUUGUAACAGGGUCUUUUGACAGGGUAAACCUUGAAGCAGCGUUUAAGAUCUUCAGAUUCAAAUUCGAGGUCAUAAAAGUGGGUAAUGUGUAUUCGCUCAUCAUACGAAACAUCCAAAAGGAGGAUGAAGCAACAUACUUCUGUCAGGCAGGAGCAGCAUACAAGAUGUCAUUAAUUAAUGCCAUGCAGCUGGCAGUGAAUCAGUCUGAUGUGAAAAAAUCUCAGAAGACUCUGUUUGGCAGCAAAACUACGAUUCAAACAAGAAAAAAUUUGGAUUCGGUGAUCAUCGGACUUGGUGUGCUUUGUGCUGUAUGUGUGAUUGUCAUCGCUUUCCUUGUAUUAUUGAGAGACUGAAGGUAAAAAUCAUGAGAUUUACAAUAUUCUGACAU